rnacentral:rRNA from 1 species
UACGUAGGUGACAAGCGUUGUCCGGAUUUACUGGGCGUAAAGCGCACGUAGGCGGACUACUAAGUCAGGGGUGAAAUCCCGGGCGUCAACCCGGAACCUGCCUUUGAUCAUCUGAGAGUCUCGAGUCCGGAAGAGGUGAAGUGGGAAUUCCGAGUGUAGAGGUGAAAUUCGUAGAUAUUACGGAGGAACACCAGUGGCGA